UACAAGUCGGUCACUAUUAAGGGGCGGAGCCACACGGAGGCGAGUGCAGGCAUCCGCCUCACCUCAUCUGUGAUUUCUUGCAGCAAUUGAAGGCAGUGCCCGCAUUGAAAUUUCUGGAGGAUUGGAUCUGCUGAAAACACUUUUCUCUCCACUCGUCUCCGGCUACACACUUUUCUCUCCACUCUGUUUCAAGGUUGCUUCUAUUGAUUCGGUCCUCUAGCUUGAAUUUGCUUCUUCUUUUCGUCAAUCAACUUUUCAUCUGGGAAUUGCAGUUUUUCAGUUGGGACAUCUUCUUGGUUUCUUCAUAGCUUGAAGAUUGUGUAUAUUGUGUAUGUAUAUUUCAUAUAAAAUUUGAUUUUACUCAAAGACAGUAGUGGAAUUACAGACUUGCAAGGUGUCAGGGCACUUUGGUCGGAUGGAUUGGGUUUGAAUUUUAACUUGCAGGGUGUCAGGGCACUUUGGUCGAAUGGAUUGGGUUUGAAUUUUAAAUUGGUCAUUGCCAUGGUCUUUGCAUUUGUGUGCUGGAUUAGAUUUGAAUUUUAAAUUGGUCCACUU
rnacentral:lncRNA from 1 species